GGUAGUGUGGCCGAGUGGUCUAAGGCACUGGUUUUAGGCACCAGUCAUGGAAAUGGCAUGGGUUCGAAUCCCAUCACUGACA